CCAAUAGCGUAUAUUAAAGUUGUUGCAGUUAAAAAGCUCGUAGUUGAAUUUCGGGGUUCUUCUGUUGGUCAGGCUAACAAGUCUGUACUAGCGUGUAGAAUCUCUACCUUCUGGGGAACCAUCAUGUUAUUAAUUUAGCGUGGUGGGAAACCAGGACCUUUACCUUGAAAAAAUUAGAGUGUUCAAAGCAGGCUUACGUCUGAAUACAUUAGCAUGGAAUAAUAAAAUAGGACGGUGGUCCUGUUUUGUUGGUUUCGGAAUCACCGUAAUGAUUAAUAGGGAUAGUUGGGGGCAUUAGUAUUCAAUUGUCAGAGGUGAAAUUCUUGGAUUUAUUGAAGACUAACUUCUGCGAAAGCAUUUGCCAAUGAUGUUUUCAUUAAUCAAGAACGAAAGUUAGGGGAUCGAAGACGAUCAGAUACCGUCGUAGUCUUAACCAUAAACUAUGCCGACUAGGGAUCGGACGAUGUUAAAUUUUAUUGACUCAUUCGGCGCCUUACG
rnacentral:misc_RNA from 1 species